GACGAACGCUGGCGGCGUGCCUAAUACAUGCAAGUAGAACGCUGAAGGAGGAGCUUGCUCUUCUGGAUGAGUUGCGAACGGGUGAGUAACGCGUAGGUAACCUGCCUGGUAGCGGGGGAUAACUAUUGGAAACGAUAGCUAAUACCGCAUAACAGUAGAUGUUGCAUGACAUUUACUUAAAAGGUGCAAUUGCAUCACUACCAGAUGGACCUGCGUUGUAUUAGCUAGUUGGUGGGGUAACGGCUCACCAAGGCGACGAUACAUAGCCGACCUGAGAGGGUGAUCGGCCACACUGGGACUGAGACACGGCCCAGACUCCUACGGGAGGCAGCAGUAGGGAAUCUUUGGCAAUGGACGGAAGUCUGACCGAGCAACGCCGCGUGAGUGAAGAAGGUUUUCGGAUCGUAAAGCUCUGUUGUAAGAGAAGAACGAGUGUGAGAGUGGAAAGUUCACACUGUGACGGUAUCUUACCAGAAAGGGACGGCUAACUACGUG
rnacentral:rRNA from 1 species